rnacentral:rRNA from 1 species
GAAUUGUUCGCAAUGGGCGCAAGCCUGACCGAGCAACGCCGCGUGGAGGAUGACGGCCUUCGGGUUGUAAACUCCUUUUGGGUGGGAAGAUAUGGACGGUACCACCCGAAUAAGCCCCGGCUAACUCUGUGCCAGCAGCCGCGGUAAUACAGAGGGGGCAAGCGUUAUCCGGAUUUACUGGGCGUAAAGGGUCUGUAGGGGGCGGCGCAGGUGGGGUGUGACAUCUCCCGGCUUAACCGGGAGCGGCCGCUCCAAACCGCGCCACUCGAGCCGUGCAGAGGUCGGUGGAAUUGCCGGUGUAGUGGUGAAAUGCGUAGAGAUCGGCAGGAACACCAAGGGCGCAAGCAGCCGACUGGGCACGUGCUGACACUGAGGGACGACAGCGUGGGGAGCGAAC